GGAAACCCCUGCCCCAUAGGUCUGGGAUAAACCACGAGAAAAUCGGGGCUAAUACCGGAUGUGUCAUCGGACCGCAUGGUCCGCUGAUGAAAGGCGCUUCGGCGUCGCCCAUGGAUGGCUUUGCGGUGCAUUAGCUAGUUGGUGGGGUAACGGCCCACCAAGGCGACGAUGCAUAGCCGACCUGAGAGGGUGAUCGGCCACACUGGGACUGAGACACGGCCCAGACUCCUACGGGAGGCAGCAGUAGGGAAUCUUCCACAAUGGACGAAAGUCUGAUGGAGCAACGCCGCGUGAACGAUGAAGCUUUCGGGUCGUAAAGUUCUGUUGUAAGGGAAGAACAAGUGCCGCAGGCAAUGGCGGCAC
rnacentral:rRNA from 1 species